ACCUCCACACUGUGGGAAACCACGAUGGGGGAACUCCAAGUGCCUACACUUAGUGUAGGCUGUCCUCGAGCCUAAAAAGCUCGAGAAGUAAGGGCCGGGUAAGACGGGUGCCAGCCGCCGCGGUAAUACCCGCGGCCCGAGUGGUGCUCAUUAUUAUUGAGCCUAAAGCGUCCGUAGCUGGCCGGGCAAAUCUCCGGGUAAAUCGGGCGGCUCAACCGUCCGAACGCCGGAGACACUGCUCGGCUUGGGAUCGGGAGAGGGUGAAGGUACUCCCGGGGUAGGGGUAAAAUCCUGUAAUCCGGGGGGGACCACCAGUGGCGAAGGCGUUCACCUAGAACGAGUCCGACAGUGAGGGACGAAGCCCUAGGGCGCAAACGGGAUUAGAUACCCCGGUAGUCUAGGGUGUAAACGCUGCAGACUUGGUGUUGGGGGUCCUGCGUGGGCUCCCAGUGCCGGAGCGAAGGUGUUAAGUCUGCCGCUUGGGGAGUACGGUCGCAAGACUGAAACUUAA
rnacentral:rRNA from 2 species